rnacentral:rRNA from 1 species
UACGUAGGGCGCAAGCGUUGUCCGGAAUUAUUGGGCGUAAAGAGCUCGUAGGCGGUUUGUCGCGUCUGCUGUGAAAACCUAAGGCUCAACCUUGGGCUUGCAGUGGGUACGGGCAGACUAGAGUGCGGUAGGGGUGACUGGAAUUCCUGGUGUAGCGGUGGAAUGCGCAGAUAUCAGGAGGAACACCGGUGGCGAAGGCGGUUCUCUG